UACGUAGGGGGCGAGCGUUGUCCGGAUUUAUUGGGCGUAAAGAGCGUGUAGGCGGUUCGGUAAGUCUGUCGUGAAAUCCUGAGGCUCAACCUUGGACGUGCGAUGGAUACUGCCGGGCUAGAGGAUGGUAGAGGCGAGUGGAAUUCCCGGUGUAGCGGUGAAAUGCGCAGAUAUCGGGAGGAACACCAGUAGCGAAGGCGGCUCGCUGGGCCAUUCCUGACGCUGAGGAGCGAAAGCGUGGGGAUCAAACAGG
rnacentral:rRNA from 1 species